rnacentral:pre_miRNA from 1 species
GGAGUCAACAAAUUGGUUGUGACUAUGUUGUACCAAUUCAUAUCACAGCCAGCUUUGUUGACUCGUG